rnacentral:rRNA from 1 species
GACGGAAGGUGCAAGCGUUGCUCGGAAUCACUGGGCGUAAAGGGUGCGUAGGCGGCCUGGUAAGUCUGGCGUGAAAGCCCAGGGCUCAGCCCUGGAAGUGCGCUAGAAACUGCGAGGCUCGAGUGCCGGAGGGGAGAGUGGAAUUCCUAGUGUAGAGGUGAAAUUCGUAGAUAUUAGGAAGAACACCAGUGGCGAAGGCGGCUCACUGGCCCGGUACUGACGCUGAGGCGCGAAAGCGUGGGGAGCAAACAGG